rnacentral:rRNA from 1 species
GAUGAACGCUGGCGGCGUGCCUAACACAUGCAAGUCGAGCGAAAAGACGGGGAGCUCUCUCUCUUGCCGUUUGCGGCGGGCGGGCGAGUAACAAAUGGAUAACCUUCUCCUUAGACUUGGGUAAUCUCGGGAAACCGGAGCCAAUAACCGCUAAUACUAUCUACCGCCUAGUUCAAUAGUUCAAGACGGCUUUGGCGCUCCUUUUAGAUGGUUUCGCGCCGCAUUAGCUAGUUGGUAAGGUAACGGCUUACCAAGGCUACGAUGCGUAGCCGACCUGAGAGGGUGAUCGGCCACACUGGAACUGAGACACGGUCCAGACUCCUACGGGAGGCAGCAGUAGGGAAUCUUCCGCAAUGGGCGAAAGCUUGACGGAGCAACGCCGCGUGAGUGAUGAAGGUCUUCGGAUCGUAAAACUCUGUUAUUAGGGAAGAACAAAUGUGUAAGUAACUAUGCACGUCUUGACGGUACCUAAUCAGAAAGCCACGGCUAACUACGUG